rnacentral:rRNA from 1 species
CCUACGGGAGGCAGCAGUGAGGAAUAUUGGUCAAUGGGCGCGAGCCUGAACCAGCCAAGUCGCGUGAAGGAUGACUGCCCUACGGGUUGUAAACCUCUUUUAUAAAGGAAUAAAGUGAGGCACGUGUGCCUUUUUGUAUGUACUUUAUGAAUAAGGAUCGGCUAACUCCGUGCCAGCAGCCGCGGUAAUACGGAGGGUCCGAGCGUUGUCCGGAUUUAUUGGGUUUAAAGGGAGCGUAGAUGGGUUGUUAAGUCAGUGGGGAAAGUUUGCGGCUAAACCGUAAAAUUGCAAUUGAUACUGGCAGUCUUGAGUACAGUUGAGGUAGGCGGAAUUCGUGGUGUAGCGGUGAAAUGCUUAGAUAUCACGAAGAACUCCGAUUGCGAAGGCAGCUUACUAAACUGCCACUGACAUUGAUGCACGAAAGUGUGGGUAUCAAACAGGAUUAGAUACCCUAGUAGUC